CUGGCGGCGUGCCUACACAUGCAAGUCGAGCGCGAAUAGGGGCAACCCUUAGUAGAGCGGCGCACGGGUGCGUAACACGUGGAUAAUCUGCCUGAGUGCUCGGGAUAACCAGUCGAAAGAUUGGCUAAUACCGGAUAAGCCCACGGUUUCUUCGGAGACUGAGGGAAAAGGUGGCCUCUGUAUACAAGCUAUCACAUUCAGAUGAGUCCGCGGCCCAUCAGCUAGUUGGCGGGGUAAUGGCCCACCAAGGCAACGACGGGUAGCUGGUCUGAGAGGACGAUCAGCCACACUGGAACUGAGACACGGUCCAGACUCCUACGGGAGGCAGCAGUGGGGAAUUUUGCGCAAUGGGCGAAAGCCUGACGCAGCAACGCCGCGUGUGUGAUGAAGGUCUUUGGAUUGUAAAGCACUUUCGACCGGGAAGAAACCCGUUGGCUAACAUCCAACGGCUUGACGGUACCGGGAGAAGAAGCACCGGCUAACUCUGUGCCAGCAGCCGCGGUAAUACAGAGGGUGCAAGCGUUGUUCGGAAUUAUUGGGCGUAAAGCGCGUGUAGGCGGCGUGACAAGUCGGGUGUGAAAGCCCUCAGCUCAACUGAGGAAGUGCGCCCGAAACUGUCGUGCUUGAGUGCCGGAGAGGGUGGCGGAAUUCCCCAAGUAGAGGUGAAAUU
rnacentral:rRNA from 1 species